CAGUCGCCGCGGUAAUACGAAGGGUGCAAGCGUUACUCGGAAUUACUGGGCGUAAAGCGUGCGUAGGUGGUGGUUUAAGUCCGUUGUGAAAGCCCUGGGCUCAACCUGGGAAUUGCAGUGGAUACUGGGUCACUAGAGUGUGGUAGAGGAUAGUGGAAUUUCCGGUGUAGCGGUGAAAUGCGUAGAGAUCGGAAGGAACAUCUGUGGCGAAGGCGACUAUCUGGGCCAACACUGACACUGAGGCACGAAAGCGUGGGGAGCAAACAGGAUUAGAUACCCCAGUAGUCCCUGUCUCUUAUAC
rnacentral:rRNA from 1 species